CCUACGGGUGGCUGCAGUGGGGAAUUUUGGACAAUGGGGGCAACCCUGAUCCAGCCAUUCCGCGUGAGUGAAGAAGGCCUUCGGGUUGUAAAGCUCUUUUGUCCGGAGCGAAACGGGCGGCCCUAAUACGGUCGUCUACUGACGGUACCGGAAGAAUAAGCACCGGCUAACUACGUUCCAGCAGCCGCGGUAAUACGUAGGGUGAUUACGUUGAUCGGAAUUUCUGGGGGUGAUGUUUGAGCAGGCGGUUGAAAUCCCCGGGCUCACCCUGGGAAUGGCAUUUGGGACUGCAAGGCUGGAGUGUGGCAGAGGGGACUAGAAUUCCUGGUGUAGCAGUGAAAUGCGUAGAUAUCAGGAGGAAUACCGAUGGCGAAGGCAGGUCCCUGGGUUAACACUGACGCUCAUGCACGAAAGCGUGGGGAGCAAACAGGAUUAGAUACCCCAGUAGUC
rnacentral:rRNA from 1 species